CCUACGGGAGUCAGCAGUAGGGAAUCUUCCACAAUGGGCGAAAGCCUGAUGGAGCAACGCCGCGUGGGUGAAGAAGGUCUUCGGAUCGUAAAACCCUGUUGUUAGAGAAGAAAGUGCGUGAGAGUAACUGUUCACGUUUCGACGGUAUCUAACCAGAAAGCCACGGCUAACUACGUGCCAGCAGCCGCGGUAAUACGUAGGUGGCACGCGUUAUCCGGAGUUAUUGGGCGUAAAGGGAACGCAGGCGGUCUUUUAAGUCUGAUGGGAAAGCCUUCGGCUUAACCGGAGUAGUGCAUUGGAAACUGGGAGACUUGAGUGCAGAAGAGGAGAGUGGAACUCCAUGUGUAGCGGUGAAAUGCGUAGAUAUAUGGAAGAACACCAGUGGCGAAAGCGGCUCUCUGGUCUGUAACUGACGCUGAGGUUCGAAAGCGUGGGUAGCAAACAGGAUUAGAUACCCUUGUAGUC
rnacentral:rRNA from 1 species